rnacentral:rRNA from 1 species
UUCGAUUGGAUUAGGCAUGCAAGUCGAACGCGAAAGUACCCUUCGGGGUGUGAGUAGAGUGGCGUAAGGGUGAGUAAUGCAUAGGCAACGUACCUUCGGGAUCAGGAUAGCUGCUGGAAACGGCAGGUAAUACUGAAUGGUCAGGUCGAGGGGCAUCCCUCGACCUGUAUACGGUAGGGCAACCUUCUGCCCGGAGAGCGGCCUAUGUCCUAUUAGCUUGUUGGUGAGGUAACGGCUCACCAAGGCUGCGAUGGGUAGCCGGACUGAGAGGUUGGCCGGUCACACUGGGACUGAGACACUGCCCAGACUCCUACGGGAGGCUGCAGUCGAGAAUCUUCCGCAAUGGACGCAAGUCUGACGGGGCGACGCCGCGUGGGGGAUGAAGGCUCUCGGGUUGUAAACCCCUGUUGCACGCCAGGAACACCUGUGGGUUAAUAGCCUUGCAGGUUGACCAUCGUGUGAGGAAGCACAGGCUAACUCCGUGCCAGCAGCCGCGGUAAUACGGAGUGUGCAAGCGUUACUCGGAAUCACUGGGCAUAAAGCGCACGUAGGCGGGUUGCUUAGUCGGUGGUGAAAGCCCUCAGCUCAACUGAGGAACUGCUGCCGAAACUGGCAACCUUGAGGACAAGAGGGGAGAGUGGAACUUCUGGUGGAGCGGUGAAAUGCGUAGAUAUCAGAAGGAACACCGGUGGCGAAAGCGACUCUCUGGCUUGUCCCUGACGCUGAGGUGCGAAAGCGUGGGUAGCAAACAGGAUUAGAUACCCUGGUAGUCCACGCCGUAAACGAUGGGCACUAAGCAGGGGAGGUUCCGAUGCCUUCCUUGCUGGAGCUAAUGUAUUAAGUGCCCCGCCUGGGGAGUACAGUCGCAAGGGCCGAAACUCAAAGGA